rnacentral:rRNA from 1 species
UACGUAGGGUGCAAGCGUUAAUCGGAAUUACUGGGCGUAAAGCGUGCGCAGGCGGCUUUGCAAGACAGAUGUGAAAUCCCCGGGCUUAACCUGGGAAUUGCACUUGUGACUGUGCGGCUGGAGUGCGGCAGAGGGGGAUGGAAUUCCGCGUGUAGCAGUGAAAUGCGUAGAUAUCUGGAGGAAUACCGGUGGCGAAGGCGGCAUCCUGGACCGACAUUGACGCUGAGGAGCGAAAGCUAGGGGAGCAAACGGG